GCAGUCUAUCCCUCAUCCACAUUUUCGACGGUGUUCCUUUAUUUUUGUAAAUAUCUGAGUGGCCUGUUCAUACUUAUAUUAUCUAUAGGUAAUAAGGUAUACCAUGCCUUAACGUUUUGUAUUAAUAACUGAUAGCUGUAAUCUCAUUAAAUUGAUUCCGAAAAAUCGUUUUUAAAUAAUCGUCAAAAUCUACUAGUUUUAAAAUUGAGUAAUAAUAUAUUUUUUCAAGCGAUUAUAUAAAGAAUAUAACUUUAUAACACGACCAUACGAGUUCUUCGAUUUAUCUGUCGAUCGAUUCGUAUCAAUUUCUAAGCGAGGAAAUAUUGGACACAACAAGUGUACGUAAACGUGAACAAUGCACGGAAAUCACUGUGUUCGUUUCAAUUCCCUAGACAACAGGGUCCCAUAAUAUGCGGUGCCGAGACCGUCGUGCAGACCGACGAUGGCGCGCCGCGUGGACGUUGUGUAUGCACGGCGACGGACGUGUUGCGUCACGAUCGUAUGGACCGGGAUUAGGAGCUCAUCCGAAACCCGUACCGUGUAAAAAACAAGUCGAAACCGCGAAACGUGACCACAUAUUAUUAUUAUUACUAUUGUUGUAAUAUUAUCCAUAUAUUAAAAACUCGGACCGCGAAGGACACGGCGAUACGUGUUUUGUGUUUAGUAUGGUGCGGCAAAAACAAGAUCCGCUUUAGUCCGCGACCGGCAGCGCGCGGAUUUCCACGUCAACGAAUUCUCGGCGGUAAAGUGUGGUCAAAUUUCGAAGAUAUUUUCAAAUUUCGCGUUCGGCUUGAGACCUGACGACUUUUUUUAAAUCGGAUGGUCUACAGUUUUCGAUAUAUGCCAUGUACUAAGUAACUACAGAUAGUGUAAAUUGAAAAAAAAAAUUAAUAUUUUAUUCUUAAAUAUUAAUUAAGUGUUCGACGAUAUAAUGGUUUUAAAUUCUGAGCUAGGAAUAUUUUAUUAAUUUUACAU